rnacentral:rRNA from 1 species
GAUGAACGCUGGCGGCGUGCCUAAUACAUGCAAGUCGAGCGAACGGACGAGAAGCUUGCUUCUCUGAUGUUAGCGGCGGCCGGGUGAGUAACACGUGGAUAACCUACCUAUAAGACUGGGAUAACUUCGGGAAACCGGAGCUAAUACCGGAUAAUAUUUUGAACCGCAUGGUUCAAAAGUGAAAGACGGUCUUGCUGUCACUUAUAGAUGGAUCCGCGCUGCAUUAGCUAGUUGGUAAGGUAACGGCUUACCAAGGCAACGAUGCAUAGCCGACCUGAGAGGGUGGUCGGCCACCAUAGAACUGAGACACGGUCCAGACGCCUACGGGAGGCAGCAGUAGGGAAUCUUACGCAAUGGGCGAAAGCCUGACGGAGCAACGCCGCGUGAGUGAUGAAGGUCGUCGGAUCGUAAAACUCUGUUAUUAGGGAAGAACAUAUGUGUAAGUAACUGUGCACAUCUUGACGGUACCUAAUCAGAAAGCCACGGCUAACUACGUG